CUUUACCUUAUGGUUCCCCCACAGUCGAGCCAGUCCGUUGGGAUCCACUAUCCGGAAUAUUUUGGAUUCUUUGUCCUCCCAUCGGAUGAAGUUUUCGUACCGGCUGUCAGACAGCAACUGAUAGACGUAAUCCCACAGCAGCCUGCAGUCUACGGAGGAAAAGGACAAGGAAACACUUGAAAGUGUUUCUAGUGGAGGCACCAAGAACAGGCAUCAGAAAAUACUGGAGUAACUGCUUUGAAAGCAGAUUUGACAAUUCUACUUCCUGUUUGCCAGCAAGACAUCAAGGCCAGGCUCACAAGCAUUUGAUCACAGAGGCUUGAUGACACCCUUGGGCUCAUCUCAAUGAGGAAUGUGAUUCUCUAGUCCCCUCUCUUCGUCCAUCAUGAGUUCAAACCAUAUGAACUAUUCUGAGGAUUCCUUUGAUC